AAGAAGAAAGCAGCCGAGGCAACAGAUGAUGAUGAUGAUGCAUCAGAAAAGAAAUACAGGAAAUGUGAGAAAGCUGGAUGCACUGCAACGUGUCCCGUUUGCUUUGCCAGCGCAGCCGAAAGAUGUGCUAAAAAUGGGUAUACGUCUAGAUGGUAUCAUCUUUCCUGUGGGGAGCACUUCUGCAAUGAAUGUUUUGACCACUACUACCGAAGCCAUAAAGAUGGUUAUGAGAAGUACACUGCCUGGAAAAGGAUUUGGACAAGUAAUGGGAAAAGCGAACCCAGCCCAAAAGCCUUCAUGGCUGAUCAACAGCUCCCUUAUUGGGUAAGGUGGACAGUGAUUUGUGGAAUAUGGUGUAUUUCAAUGUGAUGUUAAUUUGUGA
rnacentral:lncRNA from 1 species